UACGUAGGGGGCAAGCGUUGUCCGGAAUCAUUGGGCGUAAAGCGCGCGUAGGCGGCCCGAUAAGUCCGCUGUGAAAGUCAACGGCUCAACUGUUGGAUGCCGGUGGAUACUGUCGGGCUAGAGUACGGAAGAGGCAAGUGGAAUUCCUGGUGUAGCGGUGGAAUGCGCAGAUAUCAGGAGGAACACCUAUAGCGAAGGCAGCUUGCUGGGACGUUACUGACGCUAAGGCGCGAAAGCGUGGGGAGCGAACAGG
rnacentral:rRNA from 1 species